rnacentral:tRNA from 4 species
CGUGUCCGUAGCUCAGCUGGAUAGAGCAACGGCCUUCUAAGCCGUGGGUCGGGGGUUCGAAUCCCUUCGGGCACGU